rnacentral:rRNA from 1 species
CAGUCGCCGCGGGAAUACAGAGGGUGCGAGCGUUAUUCGGAUUUACUGGGCGUAAAGCGUGCGUAGGCGGCUUUUUAAGUCGGAUGUGAAAUCCCUGAGCUUAACUUAGGAAUUGCAUUCGAUACUGGGAAGCUAGAGUAUGGGAGAGGAUGGUAGAAUUCCAGGUGUAGCGGUGAAAUGCGUAGAGAUCUGGAGGAAUACCGAUGGCGAAGGCAGCCAUCUGGCCUAAUACUGACGCUGAGGUACGAAAGCAUGGGGAGCAAACAGGAUUAGAUACCCCCGUAGUCCCUGUCUCUUAUAC